GCUCCCAUGGCGUAGUGGUCACUGCGCUCGCCUUGCACGCGGGAGACCCGGGUCCGAUUCCUGGCGGGGUCU
rnacentral:tRNA from 1 species